rnacentral:rRNA from 1 species
GUUAGGAAUAUUGGACAAUGGGCGCAAGCCUGGUCCAGCCAUGCCGCGUGAGUGAUGAAGGCCUUCGGGUUGUAAAGCUCUUUAGCCGAUGAUUAUAAUGACUGUAGUCGGAAAAUAAGCCCCGGCUAACUUCGUGCCAGCAGCCGCGGUAAUACGAAGGGGGCGAGCGUUAUUCGGAAUCACUGGGCGUAAAGCGUGCGUAGGCGGCUUUGCAAGUUGGGAGUGAAAGCCCAGGGCUCAACCCUGGAAUUGCUCUCAAAACUGCAAGGCUCGAAUUCGGGAGAGGAUAGCGGAAUUGUCAGUGUAGCAGUGAAAUGCGUAGAUAUUGACAGGAACACCAGUGGCGUAAGCGGCUAUCUGGACCGAUAUUGACGCUGAGGCACGAAAGCGUGGGGAUCAAACAGGAUUAGAAACCCGGGUAGUCC